rnacentral:rRNA from 1 species
AGCAGCCGCGGUAAUUCCAGCUCCAAUAGCGUAUAUUAAAGUUGUUGCAGUUAAAAAGCUCGUAGUUGAAUUUCGGGAUCAAUACGUCGGUCGUGCUUCGGUACGUACUGGUGUCAUUGAUUUCUCCCUUCUGACGAACCAUGAUGUCAUUAACUUGGUGUCAUGGGAAAUCAGGACUGUUACUUUGAAAAAAUUAGAGUGUUUAAAGCAGGCUCACGCUUGAAUACAUUAGCAUGGAAUAAUGAAAUAGGACGUUCGAUCCUAUUUUGUUGGUUUCUAGGAUUGACGUAAUGAUUAAUAGGGAUAGUUGGGGGCAUUAGUAUUCAAUUGUCAGAGGUGAAAUUCUUGGAUUUAUUGAAGACUAACUACUGCGAAAGCAUUUGCCAAGGAUGUUUUACAUUAA